GGAGUUUGGCGGUGCGGGUCGUCUUGGGUUUACACUGGACAGCCAAACCGGCUUUAAAUGGCCCUGAUUUUCCAUGGCAGUAUCAGAAGGCUAUUUUAGUCCAAGCGCUCGGAACCUUUUAGCUUAUCUGAAAUUCUGAGUCGAAUAAUUGGAUCAGCUCUUCGCAAUAAUCGCCACAAAAUAUCUACAAACCCUAAUAGGAGCUUCUUAAGAUUAGGGUUGAUUAGAUCCAUCUCCUGCUAAUUUUGAUUUUGUGAACAAUAGGUACGCCUGCUAUUUCUCUUCUCUGUGAUUUCUGUAAAUCCUGUUUCUCGUCUUUGUGAUGAUACGAUUUUUAAUUUGAUCUUAUAAUUUUUUUAUUGCUUGGGAUUGUUAGUCAUAUUUGUUUUGUUUUCUUCUGGAUUGGGUUCUCUGGUUAGGUUUUCAAUCGAAGUUUAUUUGUUCUUUAUCAGAUUUGCGUUUUGGUGUUUCGGUAACUAGAGGCUUAUUUCGAUCCUUUUAUCUUUUGAUUAUACUUGUUAUUUUCCAGAUUCGUUUUGGUUAAUAAAUUUAUUUUUAUUGGGCAGUAGGGGGUUACGGCUGAGCAAUGUACAACGGAAUAGGAUUACAGACCCCGAGAGGGUCAGGGACUAAUGGCUACAUACAGAACAACAAAUUUUUUGUGAAGCCAAAGACUGGGAAGGUUGCUAAUAACAUGAAGGGAUUUGAGGCCGACCAGGGCACUGCUGGUAUCACCAAGAAGCCCAAUAAGGAUAUUCUUGAGCAUGACCGGAAGCGCCAAAUCCAUCUCAAACUUGCUGUGCUUGAAGACAAGCUUAUCGAUCAAGGAUAUACUGAUGCUGAAAUUGCUGAGAAGCUUGAGGAAGCUCGGAAAACUUUGGAAGCUGCUUCAGCCUCCGAGGAAAGUGGUGGACCUGCUGCUAUUGUUGUUACGGAGAAAAAGGUUUUCGAUACACAGUCCCAUCAAAUUGCUGCUAGAAAGGAAAAACAGAUGGAAACAUUAAGGGCGGCUUUGGGGAUCAGAAUGUCUGAACCCAGCGAACCAAAUGCUGAAGUUUUGGAUGAUGGACUACAAAACGGUAGAAAGAAUGGGCCAACUGAUGAUAGUAAGUGGGGUGAGAAACGUGAACACGCCUUUUUGGACAGAGACUUUAGCAGGAAGAAAUCUAUGGUUGAAAAUCAAAAGGCUGAAAAGAACGAUAAGAAAAAGAAUAAGAAGAAAGAAAGAGAUGGAGUUGAUGAUUUAAAACACUACAAGAAGGGAGAAAGUGAUGAUGAGACUGACACUGAUACUGACUCAGACCCUCACAAUGGCAAGAAGAACAAAUCUUCAAAGAAGCAUGUGAAAAGCCAAAGACAGGACACUGGUAGCGAUGAUUCUGCUAGUGAUGAUGACACUGAUUCUGACGAUGUGAGGAAGAAGAACAGAACUUUGGAUAAAUCUGCAAAAAGUAAAAUACAUGACAGUGACAGUGAUGAUAACUCUGAUUCUGACUAUGGGAGGAAGAAGAAAAGCAGAACCUUGAAGAAACCCGUGAAAGGCAGAAGCAGAAGACAUGACAGUGAAACAGAUGAUUCUACUAGUGAUGAUAGCACUGAUUCCGACACAGGGAGGAAGAAGAAAAGCAGUACUUUGGAGAAUCCCAUGAAAAGCAGAAACAGAAGACAUGACAGCAACACAGAUGAUUCUACUAGCGAUGAUGGCACUGAUUCUGACAGUGGGAGGAAGAAGAAGGGCAGAACUCUGGAGAAACCCACAAUUAGCAAAAGGCAUGACAGUGAUGAUUCUGCUAGCGAUGAUGAUGUUGAUUUUGACAAAGUGAAGAAGAACAAGAACAGAGCUUUGGAGAAACCAAUGAAACACAGAAGAAAUGACAGUGACGAUUCUAGUACUGAUGAUGAUAUUGAUUACAAUGAGAAGAAGAACAAGAACAGAACUUCAGAGAAGUACAAGAGAAGUGAAAGACAUCGUAAUGAUGUAGAUGAUUCCAUGAUUGAUGAUGAUGAUGUUAGAAUGGGUUUUUCCAAUCAAGAGGUUGGAAAGUAUGAGAAAAUUCAUAGGAGGCAUGAUUCUGAUGAUGAUCCUAACCUUGAUUUGGACUUAUCUAAGCAUAGAACUCAGGAGGUGAAGCAGCAUGUGAAAACAAGUAGACAGCAUGAGGAUAGCUCUGAUAUUGAUGGCGAGGUGGGAAGGAGGAAAAAUCCACUUGGCAAGCUUAGAAAUCGUUGGAAUGGAAGUGGAACAGAAAAAGAUGAUACUAAUUUGGAGGAUCGUUGGAAGAGUGAGGAUACACACAGGAAAAGCAGCAGAAUUCAGAGUAAGGAUGAUGAACUAAAACAUGAAAGUAGGAGGAAUGAUAGGGAUAAUGAAGAUCGUGGAGGGGAGAAAAGGCACACCAGGGACGAAGUGGUUCGUAGAAGUGGAAGGUACCAAAGAGAUGAAGAGGAUGAUGAAUAUCAAAGGCGUAGAAAGGAUGAUGAUGAUAAGCAGUACAGAAGUCGAAAGCAUGCAAGAGGGGAGGAAGAAGAGCAAAGAAGUAAAGGUCAUGAUGAUUGGGAUUAUGCAGGGCAUGGAAGGGAGAAGAGGUACCGCAGGGAUGAAGAGGCAGGGCAUGGAAAGGAGAUGAGGCACCGCAGGGAUGAAGAGGCUGGGCAUGGAAAGGGGAUGAGGCACCACAGGGAUGAAGAGGAACAUAAAGAGAGAAAGUACAAAAGAGAUGAAGAGCAUAAUGACAAAUAUGGAAAGCAUGUAAAAGUUGAUGAUGACCAAAGGUAUGAAAGCCGAAGGCGUGGAAGAGGUGAGGAAGAAGAGCGAGGAAGUAAAAGUCAUGAUAGGGACAAACAAAUGGAUUACUCUAAGAGAGCAAGAUAUGGUGAUUCCCGAUCAAAUGAGAGGAGAAGAUACGAAAAUGACAAGCGUGAUGAUGAUCGGGCCAGGUACUGAGAGUAGAACUGAUCAUCCUCAGGCAGCAGUAUGUCUGGGAAGCUGGUGAUGACUCAGUAAAGUAUAUUUGUUGCUGAAUCGGAGGAUGGAUUCUACUAGGAGUAAUAUCAACUUGAUUGUAUUUGGAUUGCAUUCUGUCUGUCUCUGAGAGAAUUGUUGCUUGUCUAUCUACAUGGAAGUGCAUCAAAGAUUUGCUGGAAUUAAAAGAGAACAACUUUUAUCUUGAUGAUUGAGCUCUCCUACUGCAAGAAUAUCCUGCCCUCUGAUUGGGUCAGGGAAAUUAUGUUCAUCUAUCAUACUAUGUUGUUUUAUUUCAGUUAGUAAGAUGGCACAUUGUUUGUUGGGCAUGGUCUAAUGGUUGAUUUUACCAGUGGUCUGCUGCUGGCCUUGUGUAUCGUAUAUUGGGAUUGGGGUAUGCUUGUGUGUGUAGACUUGGCAAAGGUCCCGUUGGGGCCGGAAAUGCUGGAUUGGCUGACUUCAUGGUUUAAAUCGGCUCUAGUUUGUAAUGGUUUCUGAUCAUAACGGUUUUGGCUCAAAAUAUGGUUUUGAUUCGAAAUGGUUUUAAUUUGGUUUUGGUCCAGUUCAUGGUUUGGCCUAGUUAUGAAAAAAAAAAUCCUGUGAAUGGGGUUGAUUUUUAUUCGAUACCGG
rnacentral:misc_RNA from 1 species